UAAGGGGAGAGGUGUGGUGUAG
rnacentral:miRNA from 1 species